rnacentral:rRNA from 1 species
CUACGGGACGCAGCAGUGGGGAAUUUUGCGCAAUGGGGGAAACCCUGACGCAGCAAUACCGCGUGAGUGAAGAAGGCCUUUGGGUCGUAAAGCUCUUUUCUUGGGGAAGAUAGUGACGGUGCCCAAGGAAUAAGCACCGGCUAACUCCGUGCCAGCAGCCGCGGUAAUACGGAGGGUGCAAGCGUUGUUCGGAUUUACUGGGCGUAAAGGGCACGUAGGCGGCACAGCAAGUUAAGGGUGAAAUCCCGGGGCUCAACUCCGGAACUGCUCUUAAAACUGCUGAGCUAGAGAUAGUCAGAGGCGGGUGGAAUUCCAGGUGUAGAGGUGAAAUUCGUAGAUAUCUGGAGGAACACCGGUGGCGAAGGCGGCCCGCUGGGGCUAUUCUGACGCUAAGGUGCGAAAGCGUGGGGAGCAAACGGGAUUAGAUACCCGUGUAGUC